UACGGGGGGGGCAAGCGUUGUUCGGAAUUACUGGGCGUAAAGGGCUCGUAGGCGGCCGACUAAGUCAGACGUGAAAUCCCUCGGCUUAACCGGGGAACUGCGUCUGAUACUGGAUGGCUAGAGGUUGGGAGAGGGAUGCGGAAUUCCAGGUGUAGCGGUGAAAUGCGUAGAUAUCAGGAGGAACACCGGUGGCGAAGGCGGGUCUCUGGGCAGUAACUGACGCUGAGGAGCGAAAGCGUGGGGAGCGAACAGG
rnacentral:rRNA from 1 species